GGAUGUGAGGGCAGUCUGGCUGCAACGUGUCCCCCCGCUGAUCACCACGGUUGAUUCGGCUGAUCCGGCUGGCUAGGCGGGUGUCCCCUUCCUCGCCGCUCCAUGCCCUCCUGAAGCUGCAUGCUCAGCGGAAGAGGACAACAUUCCCCCCCCCCCAGAGGAGGACUGUUCUUCGGUCAAGGGAGCACGAGUGGCUGCAGUCCCCUGCUAGAACCUCCAAAUACUCGCUCAAGGUCCAUUGUGGGAGGAUGUAGGGUAGUCAGGCUUCCAAGCCUCCAGACACGGCCAAACGAGGCACUGCAUGUGGCAGGCUGCCUUUCUUA
rnacentral:snRNA from 1 species